rnacentral:rRNA from 1 species
UGGGGAAUUUUGGACAAUGGGCGAAAGCCUGAUCCAGCCAUGCCGCGUGAGUGAAGAAGGCCUUCGGGUUGUAAAGCUCUUUUAGUCGGAAAGAAAGAGUUGCAAUGAAUAAUUGUGAUUUAUGACGGUACCGACAGAAAAAGCACCGGCCAACUACGUGCCAGCAGCCGCGGUAAUACGUAGGGUGCGAGCGUUAAUCGGAAUUACUGGGCGUAAAGGGUGCGCAGGCGGUCUUGCAAGUCAGAUGUGAAAGCCCCGGGCUUAACCUGGGAAUUGCGUUUGAAACUACAAGACUAGAGUGCAGCAGAGGGGAGUGGAAUUCCAUGUGUAGCAGUGAAAUGCGUCGAGAUGUGGAAGAACACCGAUGGCGAAGGCAGCUCCCUGGGUUGACACUGACGCUCAUGCACGAAAGCGUGGGGAGCAAACA